GCCUACGGGGGGCAGCAGUAGGGAAUCUUCCACAAUGGGCGAAAGCCUGAUGGAGCAACGCCGCGUGGGUGAAGAAGGUCUUCGGAUCGUAAAACCCUGUUGUUAGAGAAGAAAGUGCGUGAGAGUAACUGUUCACGUUUCGACGGUAUCUAACCAGAAAGCCACGGCUAACUACGUGCCAGCAGCCGCGGUAAUACGUAGGUGGCAAGCGUUAUCCGGAUUUAUUGGGCGUAAAGGGAACGCAGGCGGUCUUUUAAGUCUGAUGUUAAAGCCUUCGGCUUAACCGGAGUAGUGCAUUGGAAACU
rnacentral:rRNA from 1 species